AGGGAUGAAAAGGUUGUUUGUUGGUAGACAUGGAGAGGGAUGGUUACAAGGUUUUUCUGAGAGUGCUUGGGGAUUUAAGGUUUCUGUGGGAGAAUGUUUUGAAAGUGAUAAAGAAAGGAAUAACAUAAGACUCGAGACAUCAUGAGAAAUCUAAGAGUUUUUGUAACAAUAUAUGAAAGAGCUUGAUGCAUUGGCUUUUGUUUAUAGAGGGCAAAGGC
rnacentral:lncRNA from 1 species